GACGAACGCUGGCGGCGUGCUUAACACAUGCAAGUCGAGCGAUGAAGUUCCUUCGGGAAUGGAUUAGCGGCGGACGGGUGAGUAACACGUGGGUAACCUGCCUCAUAGAGGGGAAUAGCCUUCCGAAAGGAAGAUUAAUACCGCAUAAGAAUGUAGCUUCGCAUGAAGCAGCAAUUAAAGGAGUAAUCCGCUAUGAGAUGGACCCGCGUCGCAUUAGCUAGUUGGUGAGGUAACGGCUCACCAAGGCGACGAUGCGUAGCCGACCUGAGAGGGUGAUCGGCCACAUUGGGACUGAGACACGGCCCAGACCCCUACGGGAGGCAGCAGUGGGGAAUAUUGCACAAUGGGGGAAACCCUGAUGCAGCAACGCCGCGUGAGUGAUGACGGUCUUCGGAUUGUAAAACUCUGUCUUCAGGGACGAUAAUGACGGUACCUGAGGAGGAAGCCACGGCUAACUACGUGCCAGCAGCCGCCGUAAUAC
rnacentral:rRNA from 1 species